CGGGGCUUAAUGUCUUGUAAUUGGAAUGAUGGGAAUUUAAACCUCUUCCAGAGUAUCAAUUGGAGGGCAAGUCUGGUGCCAGCAGCCGCGGUAAUUCCAGCUCCAAUAGCGUAUAUUAAAAUUGUUGCAGUUAAAAAGCUCGUAGUUGAAUUUCUGCUGCAUCGCUGUUCUCCUUGAUGAGUAUUGCGUUGUGGCUUUUUUCGGACAUUGCUUCGGUUUUGUCCGGAUGAUUACUUUGAGAAAAUUAGAGUGCUCAAAGCAGGCUUUUGCCUUGAAUAGUUUAGCAUGGAAUAAUAAAGUAGGACUUUGGUUCUAUUUUGUUGGUUUUAGGUACCAAAGUAAUGGUUAAUAGGAACAGUUGGGGGCAUUCGUAUUUAACUGUCAGAGGUGAAAUUCUUAGAUUUGUUAAAGACGAACUACUGCGAAAGCAUUUGCCAAGGAUGUUUCCAUUAAUCAAGAAC
rnacentral:rRNA from 1 species